rnacentral:rRNA from 1 species
CCUUCAAGAUAAGAUUUCCCAUGACUUAGAGUCAGUAAGACCCCUUGAAGACGACGAGGUAGAUAGGUGGAAGGUGGAAGUGCAGCAAUGCAUGGAGCUGAGCCAUACUAAUCGGUCGAGGGCUUGUCUUU